rnacentral:lncRNA from 1 species
CAUCACAUUGAAAGUAUUUAUCACAUGAACACCAAACAUCAUUCAAAAUUAAAAUAGACUUAUUUCUAAGAAAAACAGAACCACAUGAGUCUUAGGCAGCAACAGUGGCAGUUUCAGAAGGUUUGUUCUCAGGCUCAAUAGAGACAACUGUGGCAGUUUCAGAAGGUUUGUUAUCAGGCUCAACAGGGUCAAUAGUUACAGCUUCUGAAGGCUUGUUUUCAGGUUCAGCCUCAGUUGCAGUUUCUGUGGGAUUGUUUUCAGGUUCUACCCAGAAUUCAGUUUUCUUUCCAGUUUUGGAAACAGUGUCAAAAACAUCUUGUGGCUUUACAUUUCCUUUCACAGUCACUUUUUGUUCCUUCAUAUCAAUGUCAAAUGAUUCUACACCUGUGAAGAACAAAUGUGUUAUUUUGAUACAAUAUUCAUAGAGGAUGUUUGGUUGGUAUAUGUCCAUCCCCUUGGUUAUGUCACAUAACACUAAUUCAAAUUCAAAUUGAAAGGUUUUGAAAAUUAUUUAAACAGUUUGAAAUGAAAUAACCAUGCUAUAGAUGUUGAAAUAGAAAUAAGUAAACAUAUGGACAGCAUAUCUUGAUUAACCUUUCAAAAAAAAAAACAUAUCUUGAUUAAUAAAAUUUAUGGGAAAAAAUAUAGAGAUAUUACAUUGUCACAAUUAUUAAUUCAACAUGAUAACAAAGAUUAUUUAUUUGCUCUAGGAAUUAAAAAUACCUUCCAUUUUUUCCAAGACCCUAUUGACUGCUCCUGAACAGCCUGAGCAUGACAUUUUUACUUUGAGGACAACGGUCUGCAAUGAUCACAAUGGAAAAAUUUCAAAUUCAUAGUAAAUAGCAUUUUUUUUUAUAAAGGUUAAGCACAUUCAUAAAUUGAAUUCAAUUUAAAAAAGGAAAAUAAUUUGAAGAUGGUGAUAAUAAGAACAAGGCCGUUCUCGUGAGUUUAACUCAGUUGAUAGAGACAAUGCAUAAUAUAUGCAAGAAUCAACAUUUGAGCCCCGGACACCUCACUUAUUCAUCUUAUAAAUGUGAAUUUCUAGCCACUAAACUACUUGACAAAAAAUAUAAGAACAAAGCAGGGCAUAAAAAAAGUAGGAAUAUCUGACAGAAUAGUCAUGUGUGGAUCCUUAGGAUAACUUGAUAAAGCAGAUUAAUCAAAAAAUGUAUUGCUAUCAAAAAAACAAAAUCAAACUAAUAACAACACAAAUUUAGGAAAAAACUGGAGGCCUACAUAUAUAAUCUAAAAGUAAAUCUAAAGAUUUGUAACAAACAAGGAAGAAAUAAUCAUUCUUUGCUUUAUUAGUGUUAGAAUUGAACUUCUACUUCGUAAUUUGUUGACAUGCAAUAACAAUGAAAUUUGUAUCAUGCAAUCAUCUUGUAUGUGAGUGCAUAUCAUCAAAAGGAAGAAAAAAAAUUGAUCAAUCUUCUCUACUUUCAUCAGAACCAAAUUUUCUAAUAUAAUUAUAAAACAAAAUACAAAAAAUUACAAAGGAUCCAUGAUAUCUCAAUUCAAAAACUCAUCAACUUCAACACAAAACGUCUAAAGCAAGGAACUAGAUCAAAGAAAAAACAUAAAAUAAUAAAUCCAGAAUCACAAUGAUCAAGCUUAAGAAAAAUAGAAGAUCAACAACAACAUAGAAAAAGAAGUAUAAAGGUUAAGCACCUCAGAAGACAUGGUUAUGAGUUUGAAAUAAAGUGAACCAAAAAGAAGAAGAAUGUAUUCUGAAUUGGAUGGUUAUGGAAUGAGGGUUGUGGUAAUGGGAGUGGUGCCUUUAUACUAAAAAUCAAUGAGAAUAUGUGGUAAUGGGAGUGGUAGUAGCAUUGUAAUAUACGGAAUUACUCCAUUAUGUUGCAAAAUAUUCUUUUUUUUUAAAAGCUAUUCACUUUGAGGGAUAAUGCAUAAUAUAUAUAGAGGCCGAAGUUCGAACACUCCAUUUAUAUGAUACUAGUAAUAGUUAAUUUUAUUUUUGUAAAAAAAAAAAGGAUAAAUUUUAUUAAAUUUUAGCAUUAGUUCUUUAACCCCUCAAAAGAAUUAUUAGUUCUUUAAAAAAGAUUUUUUUAUUUUUUCUUGAAUUAUUAAUACUUUACUAUCAUUUAAUUUAGUUUGACUUUAUGUCAAUUAUAUUUUUAUUAAUAUUUAUUAAAGUAUUUUGAAUUGUGUUAUGAUAAAAUAAGGAUUUAAUUCACAUACAUGAUAAGUUAAAGAAUUUUUACAUUAUCAGUCCCUCAAUAUUAUUUAGAAUAUAUAUUUGACUUUUAUAAUCAUAAUUAAUUUUAAAGUCAAAAUUAAACUCAAAAUGUUAUGAUAAGGAAUAAUUAAAUAAUUGUGAAAAUUUUGCUUACACGAUUUGAUGGAUGCAUUAAUCAUUGAAUUUUUUAAAUUAUGAGAUUAGACAUGAGCAGUUAGAAUUUAUUAAGAGUUUACUUUUAAUAGAAUAAGAUAAGAUUUUACUUGUUUUUUCUCAUUUGUUUAUGUUUCUAUAAUAGAAUUAGAAGUCAAGACAGGGUGUGCAGGUUGGUGAGCCAAUAUAUUGGAAGCAGGCUUAAUGAUAAUUAAAAGCAGAAUUUUGCAGUACAAAAGAAAUACAACCGGAGGUUCCAAUGCUUCCUUUUCAAGCUAAAAAAUUGUUGUACUUCACAGUUGAAUUCUAACUCUAUUUGUAAGUAUUGUAGUACAAGUCUAGAAGAACUUUUUUCUCUUUUUCUUUCUUUAUCAUCAACGAGAAUCGGUCUUACCUAAAACAAAAUGGUUGGGCCUUGAAGGGAACUCAUUGAUCAACAUAAAAGUGGAUUGCACACCCACUUUUUUGUAACCUCUUCUCAAUGGAAAGUUUUUUAUUCCAUAAACACUUACAUCGUCGCUGACACUCAACAUCAACGAAAAUCCUACUAUUGUCAGAAAGAUUUUCGUUACAACAAUGGUAAAAUGAAGGGAGUCUUGAAAUCAUCUUAUUGAAUUAGGAGAAAUCAUAUAAGUGAAGGGAACCUUGAAAUAAUCUCAUUGAAUCAGGAGUAAUAAACCUUGACAUUAGGUAUAUAAUCAAGUCAUCUUCACACUUACUAUACCAACAAAACAAACUUAUGAUAUUAUUUUUUUUGAGUAUGAUAUUUGAUUUUUUUUAUAAUUCGCAUAACUUUUCCGUUAAAUUAGUGAAAUUUAGAAAUAAAUAUAUAUAUCAUCAUUCAUUAUGUCGGUGUAUAGUUAGGACAAUGGGAUGAAAUAAAAUUGUACCCGCAUGGAUCCAUGGAUAGAAUAUGUAAGUAAAAUAAAUGAAUAUUUCAAUUACCCGUUAUUUAACAUGUACGUUGCGAAUUUAAUGAUACUCGUUCAUGUAAGUAUCAUUAUACUUGUUAAUAAAUUAAAAAAUUACUUAAAUAUCCUUACCUGAAUAUAAAAGUUGUCUUUCAAACUAUUUCCAUAAAAGAAAAACCUAGAUAUUAUUUAUGUUCCUCUCUUUUGGACCUCUCAGUGCUUCCAUAGACCUCAUAUUUUGUAUACUUUUGUUGAAUGUGAUGAACUUUAUUUUGGUUGAUGAAAUGUAUUAAUAUUAUUAUGUUUUCGAAAAAUGAAGUAAAUGAAUGUGACAAACUUUUGUCGCUAUAUUUUAGGUAAUUAAAAAAAAUUACAUUUAUUUUAUAAUGUUAUCCAGGAAUAUCCAUUAAAAAAAAUUGAAAACUAGGUAUCCGAUCCAAUAACCGACUAUUUUGAGGGGAUCAAUCUCACUAGCCACAUGCGGAGGCCUCGUUUAAAGCCAAACAAAGUUAUGCAUGGACUUGUCCACCAAAAUUAGCACCAAAGGGAAUCGAACAUGAGACAUUGAGAGGAGCACGCUCCAAGAUUCUCAAGCCAACCACUAGACCAACCCCAAAUGAGUAUGAAUAUUGAUAAAUACUCGUUGAUACCUCAAAAUUUGUGGAUUACUCACAUAAUGGAUAUCCACGUGAAUAUGAAGAAACCAUGUGUUUAUGUACGGACUUGCCCACCGAAAUUAGCAUCAGAGAAAAGCGAACCCGAGACUUUGAGAGGAGCACACUCCAAGAUCCCCAAGCCAACCACUAGACCAACCCCAAAUGAGUAUGAAUGUUCAUAAAUACUCGUUGAUACCUCAAAAUUUAUGGAUUACUCGUAUAAUAGAUAUCCACAUGAAUAUGGAGAAAACACGUGUAAUAGAUUUAUCCAAUGGAGCGAACAUAUAUAUCAUAUAAUUCGUGUGUGCAGAUACCCAUUUACAUCCCUAGUUAGGACUCACAAACAAAUUAAUAUAUGGGUUAAUAGGUCUUUAUCCCUCUGUAAUAUAGGUCAUUUCCGGUUUCCCUCCUGUAAAUUUUUUUUUUAUUUACCCCUUGUAAAAAAAAAAAAUAUUUACCCCCUAAUAGGCCAAACAAAAACGAAAAAUUUCUUGAAAAAAAAUUUUUGUUUUUGUUUGGCCUAUUAGGGGGUAAAUCAAAACAAAAAGAUUUUACAGGGCGUAAAUAAAUAAAAAAUUACAGGGGAGAAAACCGGAAAUGACAUAUAUUAUAGGAGGUAAAGACCUAUUAACCCAUAAUAUAUUAUUUACAUGCUUGAGGAUAUAUAAUUUGAUAUUUUCUUACAGUUUAAUCUUUAAUGCUAAGAGUCUUGAGUUAGAAUAUACCAUACCAUCCCAACUCGAGUGUUUAUAUGCGUAAGAAUUAAGAUUAGUUCAACAAAUAAAGUUGAGUUAGGAAAAAAAAUCAAAUUAUUAUAGAGAUAGCGACAAUAUUUUGAGGUUUUAGUUUUUACAAUAAAGUAAGGUUGAAGAAAUAUUAUUAUUGCAUGGCAUGCAAUAAUGAAGUGGGCUUCGUCAUUCCUCCAAUCAAAAUUGUCCCCCUCUUAGUGGAAUGAAUUCCUUAAAGCAUAGGAUAAUAUUGCAGUACAAGAAAUGUAAUACAACCUUUAUUAAGCAAAAACUAAUAAUAUGGUAGUAUGUAGUACCAUGACACUUUUGAGUAUGAAUUCCAAUAUUGUAUUGGUAGAUACUAACCUUGUAGUACAAAGUAGGUGUCUCAAACGUUGUACUAUACUCUUUCUUUUUUUGGGAUACAAUGUACUACUCUCUUUAUUUACUAUAGUCAGUACCACAUAUGCAUGGGUAGAACUUAAGAAAGGUUAAGUCAUAUAUUCUCUCUCAAAAAAAAAAAAAAAAAGUUAAGUCAUAUAUAACCUCAACUAAUUGAGCUUGCAUGGCAUUAUAUCCCACUAAUGGUAUGUUAAGAUGGAAUUUAUUUUGUAAGAAAAGAGGGAAACGACUAAACAAUAAGUCGAGAAGUACUAAGUAUUAACGCAUCUAUGGUUUCUUCUUAAGCAAGCAAUCUGAAACUAGGGUUUCUAAUGAAGGAGAAGAAGAUAGUUAUGGCGGUUAGGGUUUGUUAUAGUUUGAUGAAAGAGAGAGAGAUAGUAUUGGAAAGUUGUUAUUCAUGUUGGAUUAUGAAAAGUUAGUUACAAGCAAGUAUAUAUACAAUGACUUAGAGAGCAAGUCUCUUGUAACAACCUGACAAACUUAUCCAAAAAAUAAACUAAACUCUUAAUCACUUGCUAAACAUGAUUAUGGAUUAAAAACACAAACUAAUACUAACAUACACUACAAAGCUAAAUUAAGCAAAGAAAAAAUAUAAUCAACACUAAAGAAUGAAUUAUGUUAGCAAGCAAGUGAAUCGUAUGUGUUAGGCCCUAUAGGGAUUUAUUAGAAGUUCUCUAAUUAGGGUGUUGGAGAAUAAAACAAUCUCAUGGAGAAAAGAUUGGAGAAAAAUAAUGGACUACUCUUCGAAUUCACAAUGUGAACAACAAUUUUUUAUAAUACAUUUCAAACGCAACCGGGUUUAGAGCUAAAUCAUGAGCCAAUUUUAAAUCCAAAUGAAGAGCCCACAAACAAUUUAUAUUUCUUUUAAACAUAAACAAUCCUAAAAGGAGAAAACUUAGGUACAAUUCCUUAUGUACUUUUCGUAUGGUUUUUAACUAAAUUCACCAUGAUUUCCUCAAAUCCAUAAUUUUCACAAAGUUUGUUAUAUCCAAAAAAUAUGUAUUUUUAGUUAAGAACCAUACAAAAAGUACCUAAGUAAUUGUAUCUAAGUUUUCUCCAUCCUAAAAUUCAGAAGAAAAAAAAUAUGAGAGAUGUUCACACUUACUUAUUGGUUGUAGAUAAUAUGUGAUUUCUAUGACUUUAUUAAAUUUGUUGAAGAUCAACAAUUGAAUGAAUAAAUAAGUCUUUUGGUCCAAAGUUCAAGUUUGAAAAGUUUAAACUAGGACAUCAUUAGGCUGAUGAGGCGUCUCAUUUGGUGUUGAUAUAUUUUUUUUUUUUUAUCCUCGUGAGCUUAGCUCAGUCGGUAUGGACAAUGCAUAAUAUAUGCAAGGUUCGGGUUCAAACCUGGCCACCACAAAAAAAAAAAAAAAAAAACAUUUUUGAUUGUUAAAAAAAAGUUUCAAAAGUUUAAACCACCAAAAACGUAUAUGGCAGAUUGUUGAGAAAUUAAAAAUGGGAGUUAUCUACAGAAACUCACCAAACGGGAGUUAUCUCCGGAACAAAUUUGAGAAAUUAAAAAUGGUCAGAUUAAAAUUGAAGAUUUUUUAUGGGGAUUAUAAAUGCAUUUAAGUUAAAAAAAAAUUCUAUGAUGAAGUCAUGAGAAUGACUUUUCUGGUGAAGUUAAUCCUAUGACUAAUCUAUUUCUCUUCUUAAAGUUUGCUUUGAUAAUUUAAAAAUAAAUCCAAAAAUGUAUGUAUUCCUUAUCUGAGAUUCCAUAUUCUUUCAAUGAUGUCUCAUGAAAACAUAUGCAAUAAUCAAUAUGUGCUUGAAAGGUGCAACCACAAAUUGAUUGAGAUGAAACAAGACAGAGUUCAAGAGGUUAAAGCCCACCUAUCCAGGUUCAACAUAAAUAUAGCCAAUCAUUCAAAACCGACGAUCUCUUCUAAUCAUAAACUAAUAGGUUAAAAAUUAUUUCAACUUAUGGAUGUCUUACAAGUAUGCAAACUUCAUUAUGGGAACCCAAAAACUACAACAAAAAAAUUACAGGGACUAAAACCAAAACGAGACAUAUAUGCAGAGACUAUUAGCCAAAAAAAAAUAUACUGGGAAGGACAAAUUUUACAACUGUUUCUAAUAAGAUUUGAACAAAGUUACAAAAUCAAAUUCUUAUUAUUAAGUUGAUAUCUCAUCAUUCAUCAAUAACAAUGUCUUUAUUGAAUUAUAAAAUACUCAAAUCAAUUAAUCUCAAAGUUUAGCUUAGGGUUCACGAUCUGAAAUAAUGCUUUGAGUUCUUGAUUCACGAGUUGCUUCACUGAAAUUUCUCUCAAAGGAAUGCUUAAUGGUGUAACCUCAAUGGAAAAACUUUGUGACACACUUUUCAUUGUUGGUCUAGAGGAAGGAUUUGGAUUUAAGCAUGCAGAUGCUACUACAACAACAUGAAUUAUGUCAAGUAAAACUUUCACAUCAUUUGGAAGUGGGAGACGUUGGUCUAAUACUUCACAUAAUUUGAUGUCUUGAGUUGAUGUUAAUUGAAGUGAUGACAAUAUUUCCUCGGGAUAUCUUCCCACUAAAAUUUCAAGUGCCACUACUCCAAAACUAUAUACAUCACAUUUUUCACUUACAACCAUAGUAUAUGCAAGCUCUGCAUUGACCAAACCACAAUGAGAAAGUCAAAGGAUGUGAAAAUACACUUAAAAAUAGAAAAUGAUAAAGAUAAUAUAAAAAUAUAUUAUUAUAACUAACUCUUAAAUAUAAAAAGUAUAUAUUAUUUUUAAUUGGGAGUUUAUUUGAAACAAGUAAUGAUUAUAUUUAACAAUUCAAAAUGAGAAUUUCUUUUCAACGAGACCUUGUAUUUAAGGGUAAAGUUAGGAGUAGACUUUUAUGACCUUAGUAUUAAAAACAAUUAAACAUGUAUGUCUUUUUUUCGUCAAGUAAUCUAAUGGCUAAAAUUCACAUUUUUUAAGAUGAAUAAGUGGGGUGUCUGGGGUUCGAAUCCCGACCCCUGCCAACUGAGUUAUUCUCACGGGGACUUAAACAUGUAUGUUAUUUGCCUGGAUUAUGAAUAUGUUUGUUAUGCAUCAUACAAAAAUUGGAAUAAAUUAAAUAAAGAGACAAGAAUAAAAUUAAUGCAAUUAAUAAUUUACCAGGAGCUAUAUAUCCAAUAGUUCCACCAACUAUUGUUUGAUUAGAUGAAUCAUAUUGAAGGAGUCGAGCUAUGCCAAAGUCAGAAACACUAGGCUGCCAUUCUGAGUUUAGCAAGAUAUUGCUAGUAGAUACAUCUCUAUGCACUAUUGGAGAGGUGAAAUCAUGAUGAAGAUAUGAUAGAGCAGAUGCAACUCCUUUAAUGGUGUUAACCCUUUUCCUCCAAUCGAAUUUUAUGGCUUCGACAUCAUCAUGCAAGACGGAGAACAAGCUUCCUUUUUCCAUAUACUGAUAGAUCAAAAACAUAACUCUUUUAUGCAAACAAAAUCCAUAAAGCUUCACAAUAUUUCUGUGCUUUAUUUCUGAUAAUAUUUUCACUUCAUUUCUAAAACUUUCAUCAAGAGAUGGCACCUCUGCUUCGUAGCUAUGAAGUUUUUUUAGUGCAACAAAUUUACCACUUGGUAAUUGUGCCUUGUAAACACUUCCAUAUGCUCCUUUUCCAAUGCAAUAUUUAAUGUCAAAGUCUUUUGUUGCUCUAAUGAUGUCAUUGUAUGCUAUUUUGCCAUCAUAAUUCCAUAUACAAAAUAAAUCACCAUUAUUCGUUGUCUCCGUGUUUCCAUGCUUGUUCUUGAUAGAAUUAUGACGACGUUUGAAGUACACGAGAAGUGAGAAGGCUAUGAUUAGAAUAGAAAGGAUAGGAAGAACAAUGAAAACAAUACGCUUUACUUUGCUAUUUUUCUUAUGAGGUUGCAAUUGGUCAUAUGAAGUGUCGAUACAUACAUCUUUGUUCCUUGUGUUCCUUGGAUUAAGAUAAGUACAUUGUGGAAUGGGAACUUUCAAACAAUUGUAAGAAAUGUCCAGAUAAAAAACAUUACAGAGAGAUUGGGGUAUCGUUCCACUGAGAUUAUUAUUACUUAAAUUAAGUUUGUAAAAAUGUCCAAACUGAGAAGGGAUUUCGCCACUAAUUUGGUUGUGACUAAGGUCAAUGGAAGUUCCAUAAUCUUUCAAUGGAAACAAAUUGGAACGAAGUGUACCAUUGAGUAAAUUGUGGGAAAUCUCAAGGGUUUCUAAAUGAGAGAGAUUUUUCACCAAAAUAGAAAAGGCGCCACUGAUGGAAUUAUAUUUUAACCGCAACGUUUUCAAUUUGGUUAAUUGGUCGAAAUUAGAUGGGAGGGAACCGGUGAGAAAAUUGUUAGAGAUGUCAAUGUAUUGUAAUUGUGUGAGAUUUGUAAGGAAAAUAGGCAAGUUUCUACUUAGUCGGUUGUGCGAUAAAUCUAUUUUUUGGAGAUUAUUCAAGAACCCUAACUCAAGAGGAAUGGAACCUUGAACGUGGUUGUUAGAGAUGUAUAGGUACUCGAGUUGUGUGAGAUUUCCUAGUGAAGAAGGAAUGAAACCUUGAAUAUUGUUAAAAGAAAUAUCAAGAUACUCUAAUCUUUUAAGAUUUCCAAGCGAAGGAGGUAACUCACCUACAAGAGAAUUGCUACGCAGAUCGAGAUAUGCAAGCUUUGCGAGAAGACCAAUUUCUUUUGGGAUACGCCCUCGUAGACCAAUUCCAAUGACAUCAAGUUUUUCUAAAUUAUGAAAAACAGACAUGUUGAGUUUUUCAAAUUGAAUAACCCAUGUCCUUGUUGCAAAAUAUAUAUUGAUUUCUUUUAUACUUCCAGCCUCAUUGCAAGAUAUACUAGACCAACUACAACGAUUGGAGAUAUUGAAGUCUGCAUCAGAUGUGUUCCACCAUUCACUAUUUAGUAUUGCAUUUGCUUCCAUUUGAAGUUGAGAUGUCACUAUGACAAAUUGAGUCCCCAUGAACAAACCCCAAGUAAGAAGAAAAAUCUUCCACAUUUUUGGACUAUAGAUAUUAGAACAAAAAUAUUUUGUCAAGUUCAUUUUUUGAGAUUGAAUGAAUUGCAUGCAAUUUUCUAAGAAGCAUCAAAAACCUUUAUACUCGUUAGACACUCCCAUUCUCAUAGACCAAUUCAAUAUGAUUUAAUGCUUUGGAUAAUUAAUUGCCUAUGCAUAUGUCACAAUAUUUUUUUUUUUUUGGAUUAGCACAUGUCACAACGUUGGAUAAGUCUAAUGUAAACGUGAAUAUAUUUUUUUUUUAAAGUAUCAACCAUAGGUGACAGGACUAAUUUUCCAAUCUCUCUAUAUAGUUGUAUCGUUUUUUUCUUCUUCUUUCAAUCUUUAUAUACAAUGUCUCUACCAAUUCAGCUAAGCUCACAAAGACAUAGUCAUAUUGGAUUUGACAUGGCAAAUAGAGAGUUUGGUUAUGAGAAAAAUAAAAUCUGAUUAAGUUUUAUUUUUGACAAAAAGUCUGAUUAAAUAUUGUAUAGCUAAAGAUCAAAUUUGAAAUACAUCCCAAAGUAUUCCCUCUUAACUAAAAUUUAUUAACAUUUUGAGUUAACUAAUUUUAUAUUCAUUAUUUUAAUAUUUUUGUAUCAUAGGCUUUUGUAACUAUAUCUCCUUCGUCUCAUUUUUUGCAAAAAGAAAAACUAUUUCAAAAUGUCAUUUUUAAUGUAAUAUUAGUUAUUUUUUAAUCAUACUCAAUCUUAUUAAUAAUAUCUGUGCAUCACUUCUAUUAAUGGAUUUCACUGUGCAUCUAUCUCCUACUUUUUUUGGUAGUUAUCUUCCACAUUUUUUUUGGGUGAUAUAGUUAUCUUCCACUUGAUCAAGUUAAUUUGAGCAAUAAAAAAAAAUUGUUGUCAUUUACGUGUUUUCUUUAAUUACUUGUGUUGAAUAACUGAAAAAUGGCACUAACAAUAAAAUAAAAUAAAAAAGAGUAGUAUACAACCAACUUUUCUAUGUUCAUCCAUUUAUGUUAGGACUUAAGCCCACGAAGAGAGCUCAACUCAAAAGACUAGUCCUAUAGGUGGGAGAACCUCAUAACUUAAGUAUCACAUCAAGUACUUGAUCUACUCGACGUGGGACUCCUAACAUUGACACGCCCUUUAAGAGCCGGUGUCCACGGCGGCUUUCACUCUAUCGGCACUAACAUGAUGGUAGCCCUUUCCUUUUUGCGGCUUCAUUCACAUAUCAGUAUUCGGUGAAACACCUUAAUCCAACCUAUAAGUAGCCCUUUCCGUGGUCCAACUCUCAACGAAAGCACCAAUUGUUAGGACUUAAGUCAAUGAGGAGAGCCCAAUCCAAAAGACUAGUCCUAUAGAUGGGAGAACCUCAUGACUUAAGUACCACAUCAAGUACUUUGAUCUACUCGAUGUGAGACUCCUAACAAUUUAUCAUGUAAAAACUUUUCUUAUAAUUUUUUAGGGUUAGAAAUGGAACAUUUAAAAUAUUAUAAGUAAAGACUUUUCUUAUAAAAAAAAAAAAAAAAAUUCCUUCAAAUUCUUAUAAUAUUCUAAACAUUUUUGUAAAAAUUUAUUCAAAAAUAUAAAUGGUACAAAUGAUCUAACUUAAAAUUAGUGACAAAAAAUGAGGACGGAAAACUUUUUGAAGACUAAGUCGAAGAAAUUUUCUAAAGAAAUUAUAACUAAAAAACGGGAGGGUUAGCGAGGUUAUUGGUGUUUGUGUGGUGUGAUGGAGAAGCUACUUGUGUGAUGGUUGGGGGUUUUGUGGGAGGUGUGGUUUUUGCGUGGGGGUAUGGAUGGGGUAGGCGUGGAUAAUCUAGUUUCGGAUUUUGUGGCAGCUUGUGACGAUAUUUGAGGGAUUUGGUGCAACUUUUGUUUAUGUUGUUGUGCGGAGGGUUGUCUUGGAUUUUGGUGUUAGCUUUAUUUUUUGUGUUUCCUUUUAUUGAUUUCGAAGAUAGUCCUUAAUGUUAGGUGGUGUUUCAUGAGGGGAUCUUUAGAUUUUGUCUUUGAUGCACGGAUGUAUGUGUUUACAUUUGGGUGUUCCCCAUCUCUCAUUUGUAUUUUGCUAUUGACUCCUACCCUAGCACUUCUUGUGCUGGUCAGGAUUCAUUGUGAUUUUAAUAAAUUUCAUUUUUCCUUCUUAAAAAAAAAUUAAAUACUUAUAAAAAUCAAAAACAUACUUAAUCCAUAAAUUUAUCUCAAAGACUUAAUCUCAUUGUUUGUGUUUAUAUAUGUUUGGGUCUGUUGACUUGGUUAAAUUAUGAAAACUUUGUGUGCAAGUUAAGUUACGAAAAUGUGCAAGUUUUUCUUCGUCAACAGGUCUAUUUUAAUGUUUUUAAGUAUGUUUUAUGUAAGAUAUUUGACAAAUUCAAUGCAUUUUUUUUUUUGACGAGGAAUUCAAUACAACUUUAUAUGAUAGUGAAUAUUUUUUUUGAAGGAUGAUAGUGAAUAUUAUUUUCAUCAAAAAAUGAUAGUGAAUAUUUUUCUUUUAUAUUCUGCUUCAUCGGUACCUUAUUAUAGGCCUAUUUGAUCAAUUUCGUAUACAUUAAAAAAAAAUUGAUAUUAUAGUUAAUAUGUUUAUUUUGUGAGUAAAUAGUACUACUACUAAAUCACCAUUUGUUUAAAUGUGUAUUUCAUUUGACUUUGCAAAUUUUAAGUUAUUAGUAUUAAUUAGAGUUAUUUUUGGAAAAAUAAAUUAAUAAAUUCACUUAAUAAUUUGUAUUUGAACUUAUAUUUAAGGACAUGAUUUUUCUUCUUCUUAAUAAAUUCAUUUUUCUUUAACGAACUGAAGAAGUAUCCUUUUUUAGAUAAGCGAAAAUUAAUAUCCAAGUCCUUAUAAAGAGAUGGAGAGAUUAGACUUUUUUGAAUGUGGGUGGAAACAGACGGCUCAUUCGACAGGGGUCUACGUCCUACCUUAUUUAAAGUUUAGCUCGACUUAGUUCAUUUAAUAAAAAUGUCAGAUUAAAGCUUUUUAUAAAGUGUUUAGUAAAAAGGGCACAAGCUUUUUUUUGAAAGAAAGGUGUUUAUAACAUUUCAUUAAUUAUUAAAGAUUCAAUACAAUUGAGUAUAACAUAAUAAGUAACGGAAUUAGCUAAUAAUGUGGUCUCUCUUGCAAGAUUAUGAGCUACCACAUUUGCUUGUAGCCUAACGAACUCCAAGCGAGAGGCUCUAGUUUUUUAUAAAGCCUAUUUAAUUAAAUAUGUCAGACUAAGGCUUACAAAAAAGCCUAUUCCUGUCAGGCCGACCUAUUAACCUUUUUAUAUAUACUUUAUCUUCCAUUAUUGAUAUUGUUGAAGUUUUUUUUCCUCCAUAAACUCAAGUCUUCAUAUGAUUUGGUUCUUUAAUAGUAGAUAUAUUGAUGUUAUUAGACAUUUGUAAAAUUCCGUUAUUUAGUAGCAGACCUAUUCGUGUGCUUUUGACCUUCAUAAGUUUUGACAUAUUUAGUAAUAGAUUUACAUGUGUUGCUAGACCUUGGUGUAAAAUAUGCUUUUAAAUAGGCUUUCAGACCUUUAAAAAGGUCAGAUCAAGCCUUAAAAAUGAGUCUAUGACGGAUAAUAGGCUAGACUCAUGCCUCUAAUUUUUAAAGUAGGUCAGGCUUAAACUUUACAAACCCGGCCCGACCUAGCCCAUUUCCAUCGCUACGUGUAACCUUCCGCUAAGUCCACUGUCCAUAUCUAACUCUAAUUCUUCUUAUAGUGCAAGUCCACCCGACCCGACCUAGCCAACCAUGAUGACGAACAAUGCACAUUUUUACAAUUUUUUGCACCAUAAUGAGUAACAAAUUCUGCCACCAAUAAUAAAAUGGAAAAUGCUUUAUGGCACGACAAGUUUUGUCGCACCAAUUGCAUGAAUUCCUCAAAUCUCAAUUUUCUCUCUUUUUAACGUAUAUUUCCAGCCAUAUCUCUCUUUCCUAUUCUCCAUUUAGUUUAACUUAUCACUUCAACGUUUUUGUUUUGUAUGAUAUGGCAUACAAGGUACACCCUCAUGGUGUGGCUUUGUUGAAUUACACUACAAUAUUUCCAAAGGAUGUUUUGUGGCAGAAUCACCGCUCCAAACUAUUGGUGGAGAAUAUUGUGGUAAAUCAUUACAAAGGCAAUGCAAUUCAUAUUGUGAAAUAAUUAAGUUUAUAUAUAUGUUUUUGCUAGAAGACACAUUUUAUGAAAGUGUCUUUUAGCAAGUUAUUCUAUGAUCAUUUGUUAAAAGACACCAACUAAUUUUUAUUAAGGUGUUUUUUAGCAAAAUUAUAACUAAAAAUUGAAAAUGACAUCUUGAGGUGUGGGUUGCUAAAAGACACCUUCAUGGGUGACUUCUAUCAAAACUCUAUAUAUAUAUAUAUAUAUUGGUCAAGUAGCCUAGUAGCUAGAGAAAUUCACCUUUAAAAUGAAUAAGUGGGAUGUCCGGGGUUCGAACCCCGGCCUCUGCACAAAUUGUGCAUUAUCCUUUACCAAAUGAGUUAAACUCGUGGGGACAAUUUAUAUAUUAUUUUACUUGAGGUAGAAAACAAUAUUUUAUCUUACUUGUGUCAAAAAAUUGCUAAAGAUCUUGAGGCAUGAUAUAUACAUUGGCGUGCAAAUGGUACGACAAAGAUGUCGUACCAUAUAGCACUACUCUAAUAAAAUUUACAUUAUAUUUUUAUCAAAGAAAAAUUACUCCAUAAGGAGUACAUUAUAAUAUUGUGAUCAUAUAUUCAUUUCUAAUAAUACUUUUAUGCAAAUUUCAAACCCAUAAAAAAUAUCAUAACGAAAAUUUAAAAUUAACUAAAAAUAAUAAUAAAACUAAAAUUAAUUAAAUAUUAUCAAUUCAACUCGGGUUGAACCCCGAUCUAACCUUCAACCUUUAUUUCAUUGAUUCAAUCAAUGUCGGACCUAAUUUUGAUUACCUUACAAAAACUUGGUUUUUUUUUUUGACAAAUAAAAAAAAAACUUGGUUUCUUUUUUGAGCAAUGCUAUAUAUCAAGAAAGAUUUUAUCAAGAAAAUUUUAAGAAUGACAUGACAGAAUAAUCACCCUUAAAUUUUAUCAAGAAAUAGUCUUGAAAUUAAUGUUAGCCAAUAAAAUCUCAGCUUGGCCGGAAAUCAUGGGGUGGUGGGUGUUAUGUAUUUUUUUUUAUGAAAGAUUAAUAAAUGAGACUGAAAUCUAAAGGUGAUUAUUGUGCCAUGUCAUUCUUGGAUAUUUCUUAUAAAAUCAUUCUUGAUAUCUAGCAUUUUCCUUCUUUUUUUUGGUAGUGAAAAACUUUUUUUUUUUUUUUUUAUAAGAAGAAGCUUAUUGCAUUUCAUUCAAAAUAAUAGUAGAGAUACAAGAUGGAAUCCUAAUACGAAUAUGGAAACUAGCAUGACGCAAAGCCACUCUAGCAAAGCUAUGAGCAACUUCGUUGGCUUGUCUCCGAAUGAACCUAACAUCAGAGGUUACUAAAUCAGAAGCUAACAGACAUCUACAAUCAUUAAUAACUGCGCUAAAAUUAGAGACGCCACUAUUACUACCAUAAAGACUGUCUACCACAAUUUUGGAGUCGAGCUCAAAGUCCACAAUACCUAGUUGCAGAUCACGAACCCAGUGCAUUGCUGAUAACAAACCCAAAGCCUCACCCAAAUCGACAUCAAGGAGCGGAGUCAUCCAUUCAGUCUUGGCUAAAACAAAACGACCUUCUUCAUCUCGAAUACAAACACCAAUACCAACCCGAUUCCGAGCUUGAGAAAAGGACGCAUCAACAUUACAAGUAAACCUACCGGGACUUGGUUUAAUCCACUUCAAAUCAUUCGGGGUGGAAGGAUUUUGAGGGCUAGGAUGCCGAAUAUUCUGAGCAUUCCUCCAGCUAGUAAGAAGAGAACCUGCACGAGCACAAAUAUCUUGAGCUGUAUCAGUGAUGUUGUUCCAUACCUUAUUGUUUCGAUGCUUCCAAAUACUCCAAAGGGUCACACUGAAGAUUUGCUUUUGCUGCUGAUCCAGGUGUUGUAGGAUAGCAAACACAUUGGUUGGAAAACUGACAUUAAUAUCAAAGACAGCCAUCAAAGGGCUCCAUAAGCCAAUACGUUGCCAACAAAGCAUACUUUUACUACACAUAAAGAACAAAUGGUUGCUAUCCUCUCCGAAAUCAUCACACACUGCACACCUGUCAGUACACUGAACUCCUUUAGAUUGCAAACGAAUUCUCGUGGGCAAGCAAUUGCGGCAAGCUCGCCAAAGAAAAUUCUUAACUUUCGGGGGCAGUUUUAAACUCCAGAUACAAUUCCAAUUACCCAGUACACGGUGUUGAACAAUUGCCAUAUCAUGAUUCAGAAUAUCUUUAUAAGCACUUUUAACUGAAUAAUUACCAUCCCUUUCAAAAUUCCAAACAGGCAUAUCAUGAGUUACUGAAGGAAGCAACGGAGUGUUAAAAAUGUUUAUGGCAGUACUAGAGUCAAAGAAAGUAUUAAUGAGCUCCAUAUUCCACUGUUUCUGGGGUGUAAUCAACAAGUCAGAAACAGUGAUGGAAGGCCACUCCAAUUGAUGAUGAGUUGAAGGUAAAAUUCGUGCAACAUUACUGAUCCAGGGAUGAUCUCAAACUGGUAUGUGUUCACCUGUACCUAUACUCCACUGAAAACCACGCCGAAUCACAUCUUUAGCACUCCAAAUACUACGCCAAACAUAACUAGGAUUAUGGCCAAUGCUUGCUCCAAAAUAGUCACUUCGAGGAAAAUAUUUAGCUUUGAGUAAACGAGUGAUUAGAGACUCUGGAGAAGAAACCAACUUCCAAGCCUGCUUACCAACCAUAGCCAUAUUAAAGGCCUUAAGGCCCUUAACUCCCAUACCUCCAUAUACCUUUGGAACUGAAAGCCGCUCCCAAGAUAGCCAGUGUAAUCCUCGAGAAUUUGCUGAAUUAUGACCCCACCAGAAGGAAUUUAACAUUUUUUCUAUCUCAUUUAUGAGGGAACCCGGAAGAAGGAAAAUACUCAUCACAUAGGAAGGAAUAGAUUGCAAAACAGACUUAAUGAGAACCUCCCUACCAGCCUGCGAGAGACAUCUACUACUCCAUGAGUUUAUUUUACUCCAGAUGCGAUCCUUAAUAAAUUUAAAAGUUGCAUGUUUGCUGCGGCCAAUCAUAGAAGGUAGACCAAGAUAUUUACCUAUACCCAACACUUGACGAACACCGAAAGUAGUAGCAAUGAGAUUCUUCAAAUCAUCUGGAGUAUUGCGGCUACAAAAUAAUUCAGACUUUUGGAGAUUAAUGGUUUGCCCCGAAGCUUCUUCAUAAGUAGUCAAAAUAUUUUUCAUACAGACAGCCUCACUCUCACAGGCUCUAAAGAAGAGAAAACAAUCGUCUGCUAAGAGAAGGUGAGAAACAACUGGUGCAUUUGUGCAAAUCGAAGUACCUCUAAUAUUAUUGCAACGUUCGGCUUCACGAAUAAGGGAAGAGAGACCUUCAGCAUAAAUGAUAAAUAAAUAAGGUGAGAGAGGAUCCCCUUGACGGAGUCCGCGUCCUUGCACAAUAGGACCCAUUGAUGCUCCAUUAACCAAUACUGAGUAAUCAACCGUCUCAACACAAAGCAUAAUCCAACUAACCCAUCGAGAUGAAAAACCCAUUUGAAUCAUGAUUUCUCGUAGGUAAUCCCAAUCUAAUCUGUCAUAUGCUUUACUAAUGUCCAACUUAAGUGCAACAUCUUCACUCUUACCUUUUGCCUUAGCCUUCAUAUAGUGAACAAUUUCAAUAGCCACCAUUGCAUUGUCUAAGAUAGAUCGACCUGGUACAAAAGCUGACUGAUUAAUAGAGAUACAUUUAUCUAGUACCUGUUUGAGCCUGUUAGCAAGCACUUUGGCUACUAUUUUGUAUACAACAUUGCAGAGAGCAAUAGGUCGCCAAUCCUUCAUUGAAUUUUGAUAAUCACCUUUAGGAAUAAGAGUAAUAUUAGUAGAAUUGACAUGUGGUGGGAAAGCACCACUAGCUAGCCAAUGACAACCUGCCUGAUAGACUUCAUGACCACAAGUAUCCCAAAAAUGUUGAUAGAAACCUGGAUUAAAACCAUCUGGACCUGGACAUUUAUCUGCUUGCAUGGAGAAAGCCGCCUGUUUGAAUUCUUCUAAGGUGAAAUUCGCAGUCAACAUAUCAUUAUCAUCUUCGGUGAUUGAAGUUGGAACCAAAUUAAUUACACUUGCACGCGAGCUUGGUGAUUUUUUAAAGAGAUGCAUGAAAUAAUCACUUGCAAUUUGCUUCAGACCAUCUUCAGUUCGACAUUCAAUACCAUUUUCAUCCUCAAGAUGCUCAAUUCUAUUCAACUUUCUUCUGGUGCUUGCUGCCGCAUUAAAAAACUUCGUAUUAAGAUCCCCAUCACGAUACCAAAAUGUCUUAGCAUGUUGUUUCCAAAACAUAUCAUCUUUGAUCAACAAUUUAUCUAAUCUCUGUCUUAACAUAUUGAAAUAAUUCACAUUAGAGGCAUCCACAUGUGAACGGAUAGUUUCAAGCUUACGUUGAGUCUUGCGAAUCUCUUGUCUGGUGUUUUGGUUAGUAUUCAUACUCCAUUUAGAUAGAUCCACAUCACAUUGAUUAAGUUUAUUCACAAGAGGACGAUCACCAUAACCUUGCCAUCUUUGAGAAACAAAAGGCCCGAACUCGGGUUCAACAAGCCACACAUUCUCAAAGCGAAAGCGACGUUGACCGGAACUAGGCGCAGGCUGCGGAGCACAAUCCAACAAAAGAGGGUAAUGAUCAGAUGAUGUGGUAGUAAGACAUUCAAGCUUAGCGUUCUGAAACUUAUCAAACCAACUAUUAUUAGCCAUAGCUCUAUCCAAUUUCUCCUCCACAGCGCGGACAGUUCCAAGACUUUUGAACCAUGUGAAAGCAUAACCAUCCAUAUGAAUAUCAGCAAGCCUAUCAUCCAAAACAGCUUGCCGGAAACCUUGAAUAAGCCAUGGUUGACGAUCAGACCUUCCUUUCUUUUCAUCAGUUGAUAGAAUAUCAUUAAAAUCACCAAUAAUACACCAAGGAAGUGGAGACAUAUUUGAUAAAUGUCGAAGUAAGUUCCAAGACUCUCUUCUCCUCCCUCCUUCUGGCAUACCAUAGAAUCCAGUUAACCUCCAUCUUCCCCUAAUAGAGUCAUUUACCUCCAUAUCAAUAUGAUUCUGGGAGAAAUUUGUGAUAGUACAAUUAAAGUUCUUAUUCCAUAAACAAGCCAAACCACCUCCCCUACCAAUACGGUCAACAGAAAAACAGUAAUCGAAAGCCAACAUAUAUUUCAAUUCUUCAAUUUUAUUAGACGUUGUCAUUGUUUCAUACAUGAUUAUUGCAUCCGGUUUAUAGGUCCUGACUAGGUACUUUAAAUUAGGAACUGUGCUCGGGCUACCUAAACCCCGACAGUUCCACCAUAUAAGACUCAUUUACCUUGGCGGGCAUGGUGUCCAGGUCCCGCCAUUACAUUAUUAAUCCCACCUAGUCCCCUAUCCCUCAUGUUAACAUCCUUGCUAGCCGUAUCUUGACCACCAUCAUAUUCAUUAGAGCCUUUCGUCGCAACACCUUCCUUAGUCUUCUCCACAGUGUCCUCGCGAUCUUCCAUGCGAAGCCUUUUGAGUUGCUUAGGUCCUUCGGAGGCAAUCUUAAUUGUACCAUUAUCACUAACUUUCGGUUUAGGCAUUGACGCUGUUAAUUGUGAUAUAGGAGGCUGGGCAACGACAUUAAAACCGAACGGAGCACUUUCAAUUGAGAGAGGAUUCUUGAGCCUAGCUUCUUGAACCAAUCGGGCGAUGCGUUCCUCAUCUGGUAGUGAAAAACUUAAAACUGGGUUUCUUUAACAUGCGAAAUAAGGACACAUGUUAACAAUAUUAUUAUUAUUUUUGAAUAAACUUGUUUAUAGAUUUAUAAAAGCACUUACUCAAUAAAAUUAAAUUCUAUUAACCAAAAAUAAAAUAAAAUUCAUAAUAAAGUUGCAUAUAUUCUCAUAUUUUCUUUUGUCAAAUCACAAUCGUCGUUUUAUCUUCAUACACCGUGUCGUUUAACACCUCUGGUAAUAGCAUUCCACCCGAAAGCAGCUUUUACACAGUAUCAAUAAAAAACGAUAGAGAAACAUAUAAACCCCGUUUCAACGACCAAACGCGCGUUUCAAAUAAUCUAACCCCAAACGCUCGCGCUUGAUAAUCCAUUUUCCCCCUUCUUUUAAUCGAAAAUAAAAGGUGAAGAAAUCAAACAAUCCUUUCACUUUCGAUUACCGAAUCAAAUUCAGAAUCGCUUAAACAAUGACGACGGAAGAUAACAGCGUUAGGGUUUCUUCUUCCAAUGAAGCAUCUGCGACAAACGAAGUUUCACAAACAAGACAGAGGUAACUCACGUCAUUGAAAAUUUGAAAUUUGUUUAAUUUUUGUCUUUUAUUCGUUAAUUAUGUGAAAUUAGUUGGAUUACUGUGUUGAUUGAUUUCACCGUGGAUUUGUCUUUUUUACUGAAUUGGAAUUAUUUGAAUAGCUUAGUGUGAAUGUUUUCACUUUUCAAAUAUUAAAAAGCUGGAUUAGUCUCUGAAAGUUUUGGUAUCACGGUGGGUUUACCGAAAUCACGAUUACGCGGUGAUUUUUUUACCUCCAAAGUGUAGCUUUUGCAAGAGGGUCAUGGUAACUAGUGCCCUGAGACACUUGUUAAGGGAAAAAAAGAGUAAAUUUUGCAUUGAAAAGACGGUUGACUACACUAGUUUUAAGAUAAUUUUAUUACUCCCUCCGAUCACUAUUAUAAGCAAAAAACUACUUUUUAGGUUCAUUGAAUGAGUGAUGUAAUUGACCAUUAAUAUAGUCCACAUACAUCAUUUAUUCAAUGAACCUAAAAAGUAGUUUUUUGCUUAUAAUAGUGACCGGGGAGUAUAUUAGUUCAUUUGCCAAAUUACGGUGGCUCAUGCAAAUUUGUCAAACUCACCUCGGAAGCAAACAUUUAUCUAUUGGUGAAACAGGUGUUUAGGGUUUGGGAAAAACUUUAAUAGAUGUUUUCGAAAAUGUAUAUUUUGUAGGAUUGACCACAUUUUUAAUAAAUCAUAGAUGUUUUCGAAAGUGUAUAUUUUGUCCGGAAGUAUGCAAUACUCUUCCGAACUGAAAGUGAUAUUGGGGUGUGGAAAGUUCCUCCCAUAGGGUUAAUGCUAAAACGACAACACACUUGGUGCAUUAUAUUUUAGGUUAUGUCUGUAUGGAUUGACUUAUUUGAGUUUAUCUGCUAACACAAGUUUUGUCUGACCGUUUUUCAGCCUAUUUUCAUAAGUUCUCCAGCGUAGCUUAUGAAAAUAGCUUAUAACUUGCAUAACAAUUUAAAUUUAUUUUAUCUUUUGCUAUAGAAAUAACUUAUACAUCAGUGCCUGAGCUUUUAAGUUGCAAAUAAGUUUUUAUCCAAAUAGUGCUUCGCAUAACUGUAAGGGAGUUCUCCAAGAUAUUCCCAAAAGUGUACUUUUGGACGGCAUUUUAUCUGGAAGUAUGUUUAAAAUCCUCGUUUUUUCUCGAUGUGUAAAUUUGAAGUGAUGUUGGGGCGUGGAAAGUUUCUCCCUUAGGUUAUGCGAAAACGGAAACCACUUAGGGUCUGUUUGGAUUAGUUUAUUUGAGGUUAUCUACUGCCAUAAGUACUUGCGACAUUUUUAUUUUAUUUGAAGAAGCUAAAUUAGCCCACCCAAAUUGGCACCGGCUGAGACCUUGAGGAGGAGCACACUCGAAGGUCCCAAGUCAACACCACCAUGCCAACCCAAAUAAGUACUUGCGACAUUGUUUGGGAUAACUUAUGAAACAACUUCAGACAUUUUCAUAAGUUGAUUUCAUGUUAUUUCCAUAAACUCUCCAGGAUAGCUUAUGAAAAUAGCUUAUAUAUUAUACAAAAAACUCAAUAAAUUCUUAUGCUAUAAGCUGCAAAGUCAACUGCAAAUUAAAUUGUUAAUCCAAACAGGGCCUCAGUGCAUUAGAUUUUAGGGGGUCACAUUGAUAGAAUGAAAAUACUAAAGAAAAUUUAUUCGAUUGUAUUUGAUACUAUGUUUUGUGAAUUUUUUAUUGAGUGUUCUGAUUUUUUUGUAGAAAGAAGAGAAAGUGGGAUCAACCAGCAGAGUCAUUGGUAUCAGUUGGGAUGGCAGUACCCGGAGUUCUUCCUUUGAGCAAUGCUAUGCCUCUUGGUGGGGUUGCAUUUCCAGGUGUGACACCAGUGAUAUCCAGCGCUCUUUUGACUAAUCCAUUGGCUGCUGCAGCCCUGCUUCAGCAGCAAAGCACGGCGGCGGCCCAAAAAUUGAAUCAAGUGAGCUGUCUAAUCCCUUGCAAUGUUUGACGUGUUUGCCGAUGCUCUUUCUUGAUUAUAUUGCCGUAUCAUUCUUUUAUUGUUUUAGUUUGUGGGAAAACAAGUGUGGUAUUGUUCGAUGAAAGUGUGGUAUUUUUUUGAUGAAAUUUCAUCUAAGGAUUUUGAACUUGGUGCUUGAAUGAUAUGAGAAUUAUAAGGGGGUUGUGAACUUGGUGCUUGAACUGUGUCCUCUAUUGAAGCGCUAGUAAUACUCUUGGAAGUUUAUUUACACCGCAAUGAAUUCAUGAUAUUUUUUUAAAUGAAAAAUGCAAUGGAAUCGUGACAUUGAAAAUUGAAAUUAUAUAUAAUUACUAAAUUUAGUUUUGCAGUUCGACACUUUAAUGAUUAUCAUUCAGCUUCUUAUGCUCUGUAAUUUUGCCUUUUAAAGCACACUCUUUUAAGAUUUGUGAUAUUGAAUACUAGCUUCGUCCAUGUAUGCUUCUCAGACCCAUCACUUGCAAAGUCUGCAGAAUAUGCUUUCGGGUGGCCUAAAAUCAUUGACUUCAUAUUUUGUGCAUUUGCAAUUAAUAAACUGUCUUUAAUUUUUUAUUUCAUUUAUACAAGAGUAUUUUGGCAAAAUUGUGUUCUCUGUUAUUCCAAAUAUUCCUUUCCUUCUAAUUUUCAUAGAAUAAUUGUGUCAGGGUAGAUUGAUGCUAGCAACAUAUUUACUUAAUAAGUGUUUAUGUGUGUGGAGAUUUUGCUGAAGCCUUUGAUUCUCCCUGAAGUUUUUGCGUUAUUUUAUUAUAGAUUUCUUUUGUAAAUUUUAAAUAUUUUUUUAUCUUAUUGUGGGAUAAAUUUUCAUGUAGCAAAAGAUCCAAGAUGAGUUGGUAAUUGCUCGAGAAAUCGUCAUAAAUGAUGCAGAAUCUUCUCUUCGCUACAAGUUGACAAGACGCCAGACACAAGAGGAGGUGACCUGGAUAAGAUAAUUUUACUCCCUUUUAACCCCAAAGCUUCUCUUUAAUUUUUAUCUAAACGAUCAGUUUUCCUCUUCUUGCAGAUCCAGAGGUGCACUGGUACUAUAGUUAUAACUAGGUUUGUAGUUCGUUCAAAGCAUUUCUAAAGUCCUUUUAAGUUUUUACUAUACUGCUGGAAGUAAUGUCUAUGCUGGUUGCUUUUGCAGGGGUAAGUAUCGACCUCCCAAUUCGCCGCUCGAUGGAGAAAAGCCGUUGUAUCUCCACAUCUCUGCAGGAGCUCAUGUAAAUGCUGAUACUUGGUUUUUAUUUUUUUUAUUUUUUUAUAUAUAUAGAACAAUGAUUGGGUUAAAUAAUCAGAUUUAAUCGGACAUUUUUGUCCAAUCCUUUAUUUCAUAUGAAAGUAACAUUUAUUACUUAAAAUGAUGUGGUCAGAACUCAUAUAUAGAUUGGAAAGGAAAUGUCACUUGAAAGAGAUUAUUUAAUUGAAUUUAUUUGCAACAAAUUGGCUUCUUAUUCAUGAAAGGAGAUUCAUAUUGCUUUUUUGUAUGUCAUGACACAAUAAUUGAUGGCUCAUGGCUGUGUUACAUGAGAAUGAAUUACGUAAUUUAGUUUGCUUCUAGUGACAUCACAUUAUGUUGCAGAUAAAAGAUACGGCGGAACGGAUUUUAGUUGUUGAUCGUGCUGCUGCAAUGAUUGAAGAAAUGCUAAGGCAGGGGCAAAAUUCGCAGUCAAUUUCUUCUGCUUUACCUUCAGCUUUGGCUAAUGGAGUGAAGGUAGAAAUUCAUUCAUUACUAGCUCAUAUACAAUGUGAUGUGAUGUAUUGAUAACUAAAAUGUAUUAAUGAAUCAGGUAUUGAGCACAUGUGUGUUUUUGGGAUUUGAUGCUGACCCAUCAUGGAACAUUGUUGCUCGUAUACGUGGACCAAAUGUGAGUCCUUCCCUAACUAAUUGAUUUGUCUAGUACUCUUGUGCUUUAUGUUUGUGCAUGAAUAUAAGUGGAGAGUCUGCCACAACUAUUUUCAGAGAGGACUGUUUGAAGUUUCUCCUCUGUAAUCUGUUCAUAUAUUGACUUUUUGAGUCUCAUGUAAUGGACAUGUUAUGAUUCACAAUUAUAUCAUAUAUUGAUUUGCUGUUUUGUUUUUAUUUCUUACAUUUUUACUAUUCUAUCUUUUUGCUCACUGGGAGUAGGUGUGUAUUUGUUUUAAACUUCUAUUUGAUUGCGUGGAAAUACUUUGCUAUAGCUUAGGUUAUUGAUUACCAAGGUGUUGAUUAGGCAAGAAAAAAGGGAGGAUGUCUGGGGAAAUUGAAGACUGUUGUAGUUGGCAAAGUGUUCUUUUUAUGGGUUGGGAUCCUCUCAAUUUUCUAAAUAAAAUGGAAAUGUCAAUUACUAUAUUUUUUUACUAAAUAAAUAAUAUAAAUGUAAACAUUUCUAAAAUUGGAGACAUUAAUUGAACAUUUAUACACGGAAACUGAGAAUGGAACAAAUGGAAUAAAAAAUGGAGAGCAUCUUAAUUCUUGACUGGGAUCCUCUCCAUUUCCUAAAAGAAAUUGAAAUGUCAAUAACUAACUCAGUAACUUUCUUAGGUGUGGGCUUCUUCAAAAGAAAAAAACUCUCUUAGGUGUGGGGUUAGGCCUGUAUAUAUAUACAAACUAACAAACAAGAACAGAGGUAACUCGCCAAGUAACUACAAAUUAGAGAUUAAAUUUACACAGAUAAUUACGGGUAGAGACUGAACAUUCGGUUGUUUGCUCAUCAAUACGUAAAACUAGAUUUGCCUAAGAAAAUAUCGGGAGUUAUACUAAUUAAUUGCCUCAUCUAACAGCAUAAGUCUGACCUGACUUAUUUAUUUAUUUAUUGGAUUGGAUACCUUGCAUCAUUAUUGGUGGAUAAUUAUUUAUUUUAAUAUAUUUUAUGAUGCUUAAAAUUGUGUAUUUGUAAAUAAUCUAAUGUUUCAAGCCUCCUCUGACGUCUCCGUACAAUUUGGAGAAUUUUUUUGGGGUUGGUGGUCGUUUGGAUUUGAACGUGCAGGACCAGUAUAUAAAUCACAUUAUGAAUGAAACAGGAGCAACAGUAAUACUUAGAGGACGUGGUUCCGGAAACGAUGAAGGCUCAAAUGGAGAAGGUACUUUCUUCAUUUGUGGGAUUCAAACUUUUGAAGGGAAUUAUAUUUCAGUAUAGAUUACUUUCGUGAUAUUCGCUUUUCAGUUUGAUUUGUUUUCGGUUUUAGAUGGACAGCAACCUAUGCACCUGUUUUUGUCUAGUAACAAUGCAAAAAGCCUUGAAGAUGCUAAGUUCUUGGCGGAAAAUCUUUUGGAUACAAUCAGUAUGGAAUGUGGUGCUUCGAGGUAUUCAAUUUUAUAUUGUCAUAUGAUAUAGGAUGUGAGCCAGGUUUUUUUCUUAAGAGUAGAAAAUUUAGGGAAUACUCUGUUUUUCUCAAAUAUUAGCUCUUACCAUAUAGAAACAAAUCUUUAUUUAGAAAAUACAAAUUUUUAUUAUUUGAUAUUUCAUGGAACACGGCAACCUACCUUUUGAUUAUUUCCUAUGCUGAUGUCAACAUGACAACAAUCCUUUUUCACUAUGGAAUAAUUAAUAUCACACGUAUUUUGAAGUGAAUUUGGAACAUUCUUCGGUACAUUUCUGGAAACUGGGGCUAAACAUUAAUUUUCCCGAUACACAUCCUAGAAAAACAUGUAUCCUCUCAGUGUGAUAGACAGUAGGUUUGACUAGAAAGAUGUGAUAUUUUUGGUAGCUAGGUGACCGGUGAUCAGACUGAGAAAUUCUCACCUCCGAAACAUUCGCUGCUUUAAACUCCCUCUUUUCUCUUUAAAAAAAAAUUGGGGAAGGGGAAAUUAUUUGUUGGAAAUUCCGCCUUCAUUGCGGUCCACCCCUAGCCGCCUAAUUGCAACAUUUGGGUUGCCUUCAUUGCAGCCUUCAACACCUUCAUCGUGUUGGGUUUGAGGGGGUGGAUUUUUUCCCACGGUGCUUGGAGAUAUGGUGUGUGUAGUACUGUAAUGUUUAUAAAGCUUGGACAACCCUCACCUUACAAGCCGGUUUUGUAAGGAUUAGUUGAGCCCAACUCAAAUUUUAAGAUUAUUAUUAAUAACGAUGACACUAAUGACCAUUUUACGGUAGUCCGUGAUGGGAUUUGAACCAUGCCCUUUGAGGUUAACAAGUCAAACUCUUAACACUAAAAUGACACCUAUUGCACAAAAGUAGAAAAUGAAUAUUCUGGGCUUUGUCUAAGUCCUUACUUUGAAGGGCCUCAUAAUUAUUGCUAGCCUUCAAAGUAAGGGCUUCAUAAAAAUUAUUUCGAUGAAGGGCCUCCCUUGCACUCACUUCACAACAUCUCAUUAGAUAAUGUAAGCCUUUCAAAUUGUGAGGCUGAUACCCAACAGCUUCUCCCCUGCACUCAAAUCACAUGAAGGGCCUCAUAAAAAUUAUUUGCAUGAAUGUAUGUUGCCUUUGUUGUUGCUUCUAUCUCAGGGACACACUUAUACUAUCCUGCUAUUAAUACUUGUUAUUUUAGUUUAAAAUUUAGGCACAUUUCUGUUGCAGAUAGGUUCUUUCACAUGGUCAUUGUACGGUAAUUGGGAAAUUUGAAACUCCUGGACUUUGUUGGUUGAUUUAAGUAUUAAAUUUGGUACUUGUGUGGUUUGCAUUCAAUUUUAAUUUUAUGGAACUAAGGUUGGGUUUGAUAUGGUAGUGUGUGGGUAGGAUGGGAUUCCCACAAAUGGAAGUAGAGGUCUGGUAAAUCUGAUUGGCAAUCAUCUUUUUCCAUUGCAAUUCUUGAAACUAUGUUAUUUGGUUAUUUUUAUUGUUGGGAACAUGUUAAAUUUCUUCUAAGUUAUAGGAAUAACUUUUGAUUUAACUGUCAUAGGAUUUCAUCAUGUAAAGUUUAUAGUGCUGUUCCACCUCCACAGCCGGUAUAUACUGCUGUUCCACCUCCACAGCAGGUAUAUACUGCUGUUCCAUCACCCCAGCAGGUUUAUAGUGGCCCUUCAUUGUCAAAGCAGAUUUCUACUGCCAUUUCACCCGUACAACAAGGUUACAGUGCUGUUCCACCCCCACAGCAGUUGUUGGCUGGAGUUCAGUGUUCGGAGGCAAGCACAGACGUAACCACUACUUCAAUGUCAUUGACUGCAGUUUCGACACCAGUUCCUACAGCAAACAUGAUUGGUUAUGCUCCUCCUUUAGUAUCAGGUGGAACUAGCUAUAUUGGAUAUGGUGGAAUAUAUCCUCAAGCUACCCCAUUGCAACAAGUUGCUCUUGCCUUGAGGCACUCACCUCCUGUUGCUUCAACAGUUGCUCCCGCAACAUCGGCACCAAACAGAGAGUCCAAGUCUACCACAAACUCUAAUCAUGAAAAAGAGGAUAAACGGACAGCUCAGAGGCGAAAAUUUCAAGAACAGCCAGUUGUUUCAAAGGGCGCAAAACACAAUCAGGUCAUUGCAUUGCCAUUGAUAAAAUCUUUUAAUAUAUCAUUUUGCAUGAUGCAGGGGGGAUAUCAUUGAAUCUCUUGAUAACUAGUUAGGUUGCAGCAAAUAAAAGCCUUGGUUUAUGGGAAGUCUGGUUUAAUCUCUUUGCAUUCAGAUAUACUGUUAAUUGGAUGUGCAAAUUUGAAUAUAUUAAAAAGCAUCAAAGCAAUAAUUAUCUGACGUUAGGGCUGUAAACGAGGAGCACUGGGGAAUUGGGAAAUGAACCGGGGAAAUUAAACCACCAACUAAUUACUUAAAACACCCUCUCAUAUUGGAUCCUAACAAAUUCUGACGAGAACAAAUGAAAGAAUCAUUAUUUGAAAAGAAAAGAUUGACAAACCAAGGCUGAUAACUCCCUUCUGAAGGGACAACUCCCUCACAACCAACUUGGUUAGUAUACAACAUGAACACAUUCAUUACAAACUUUCCUUCCCUUUCAUAUUUUUACAGACUUCAGAGUUUUCAAUAGCAAUGUAGGUAAAGAAUUUUUACGAUCCACAUUGCUAUUGAAUAGAUUAGAUUAUUCAUUAUUACUUUAUUUGAACGUAGUUAUCUUUAUUUUUUAUUUUUGCUUUUAAAAUGAAAGGUAACGAAGUAAAUAGUAGCAAAAUAUCAAAUGCUUCCGAAAGGGAAGUCAAAUGCCUAAGUAUAUGUAGCAGAUCUGCUAUAAGCUAAUCCCUCAAAUGACUGAUUUGACAAAAACUUCCUUUUUUCCAUAAUAGAAGCAAUUAUUUUUACCCUUUUAUUAUUCCUAUUUGUCCCGGUUCUCCUUAUCUUCUGAUCACAGCCUUGGGUGUGGUUCUCCAUACUUACCUGAUGUAUUUUCACUUUCCACUGUAUGUUUGGGUGAAAUUGCCAUUUGACAAAUAAAUUAAAGGCUAAAAUAUGGUUUUGGUCCCUGCAAAUAUGCCUCGUUUUGGUUUUAGUCCCUGUAAAAAAAAUUUGUUGUUUUUGGUCCCUGCAAAAUCAAAAGAUUUUACAGGGACUAUUUUUCUAAUAAAUGAGUUCAGUCAUCAUGUGCCACGUGUGCAAAUCAUUACAAAAGUGGAGUCAGGGACCAAAACCAAAAUGAGGCAUAUUUGCAGGGACCAAAAACAACAAAUUUUUUUUACAGGACUAAAACCAAAACGAGGCAUAUUUGCAGGGACCAAAACCAUAUUUUAGCCUAAAUUAAACUAAACCAGUUGUAGAUGGAUAUCAUGAGCAGAUAACCUCUUUUUUUUUUUCUUCCUGUUUUUAUUGCAUCUAGAACUAUCUUUGGAGUGUGGAUACAUUGACAUAUUAAACAGAACUUCAAAUUUUUUUCUAUUCUCAUUUAUAAUUUUUCUUUUAUAAAAACAAUAGUAUUACAAAACUUAUCUUGCAAAAGCUCUUAAUAUCUAACUCCGUUCUGGUCUAAACAUAUUAUCUUGUGCUGACUUUUGAUACUUAAUAUUCCAGGUAUUUUCUCUGACCUUCUAUGCUGACACUGGACCUGUCUGUUGGGCUGUUGGUUUAUGUUUGACAGGGUUUUCUGUUUUGGAAAGUUUGCUUGUGCACAGUAUACGCCCUUGCCAGUCCAAAUGUUUUAUGAUUUAUCUCUCCAUUGGUAAAGUUGUGGCAAGCUUGUGCUUUGCCCUCCAUUUUUGCAUACAUGGGCUCCAAAAGAAAAUAAAUACUAUAAUAAGAAAAUGAAUAAAAUUUAUACGUGAUUAAGAGUCACUAUUGAACAUCCAAUAUUUUUAAAACCAAGAUGAUGUCAGCCAUUUCCUAAGCAAAGCCAUCUUACUUAAAAUUUUGCAUCUCACUUUAACUAGUUGCCUCCACAAAAUCUUGUUAGACUAAUCCUACAUCCCGCGAUAUGAUUAGUUAAAAAUAGUUGUGUUCAUAAACUCAUCAUUCAUUAAAAAUAUCAAUUUUUUGAGUGCGACCCUUAAAGUUAACCCACCACUUGACAAAAAUCUCAGUUCUUUUUGCAAAACAUGUAUAUCUUGGUAUUUGGCAUCAAUGACUCAUUUGGCAUUGGCAUUGGCAUGAAAGCCCCCAAAAUAUUGGGAACAUUUGAGCUGCUAAUAUACAGUUAUGUUGCCAAUUAUACUAUUCGUUGACAUUUUUUUUUUUUAAGGAAUUCGUUGAUAUAUGUUAUCACAACAAAUUCCUAUUCGUGUUACGUUUCAAUUAUAUUAAUUAAUCAGCCACUUAAAACAGUUUUUGCGCGAAAAAUUUUCCAUUGACUGUUAUUAUCUGUGACAUUAAAUCAGGUUAUAGAAUGAUAGUUGACGAUAUUUGCCAGUUUAUCCUACCUUAUAUUGUUGUGCAUUGUUUUCUUUAUUUGUUUUAUUUUUUAUAGUUCAGUCUCAAUUUACUUGUAGUUUUGUGUAUUGGAGCAAUUAGUAAAAUAUCUGAUUCAGAAGUUGUUUGUAUUUUUGUAUUGUUCCACUCUAACUCAAUUGCAGGGAUCGGAACUUCUAAAACCUAAUGAACGAUAUGAGAACUUGGUUGUGAGGAAUAUAUCAACUAUGCCUGCUCCUAAGAAGUUGGUCCAGCCAUCGUCUAAUGGAAUUCCAGCACCCCCACCAAGAACUACGCCUCCACCACCUCCAAAAAGAGCUAUGCCCCCACCACCUCCUCCACCUAAAUUUUAUGAUUCAAUUGAAGUUAAAGUACAAGACAAGAGCAAUAGUUUACGGAAGACAAAAUCUGAUGCUAUUCCUGGUUCGCAUUUAUCAACUUUAAUAUUGUUUUGAUGUUUCAUUAUGUGUUCUCUAUAUAAUGUGUAUGUAUGAAACUUUUACUGUCUGCUAAGUGUGAUGAUUCUUUAAUUGACUUUGUAAUGUUUUCUUUAUUGUCCAUCUUUUAGAUUUGUGUGUAAUUUUAGGUAUUUAUUUCAGAUACUUUGGUCAAGCUAAUGGAAUAUGGUGACGACGACGACGACGAUGAUCUAGACGAUUCAAAUGCGGAAAUGCCUCCUCGCACAGCCCAAGCAAUUGGGGCUCAAAAGCCUUUCUGGGCCUUGUGAUCUGUAGUGUGGAUGUCAGACAUAAGUGAUGUAAAUAAGCAAUUGUUUUGGUUGAGAUUUAGCCAUUUCAUCAGUGUUCUUGGUGAUUGCUGGUUAGUUACUUUUCAGUGCAAUGGCGGGUGGAGAUCCCUGAGCAUGAUUUUUGGAGAAAAGAGAGUUGGUUGUCAGGUAGCAUUUGAAAUCUACAGGCUAUAUUGCACAUUCUCAUCUGCUUUCCAGAUGUCUGUUGUAAUUUUUUGUCCUAAUUUCAGUAUGCAUUGCAUAUACACCAGUAGUCGAUUUUUUUAGUAGUUUAGUUUGCCAUCAAUAUGAUGAUAGUUGGCGAACUCUUUACAACUAGUCCUAACUGAUAACUGAAACUGUAGCUCCCAGUCCCAGUUUGUGAAAUAUGUUUGUAUUUCCAUCCUCCUAUUACGUUUUACCUAUCAUGUAUUUCUUACAAAUCUCAAUUUUUAGCUAGUAGAAUUUGUAGCAAAUUUUCUGGAUGGAUUAAUAUAGAUGGUUGCGAUUUCCAAAUGCUAUUCCAAUUCUGAUUAGCAACGACAAUAUUCGAUCCAGAUCUCCAUCUGCAUAUUCGAUCCAGAUCUCCAUCCCACAACACUCAUCCAUCAGGUUAAUCUAACAGUUAAGAGGUUAAACCAAUAAGACAAAUUAGAAUAAGUAGAAGAAUAGCCAUCGGAUGGCCGCCCAUGGCGACAUGUUCGACAGGCUGGUUAAUCUAAAAUUAUAUGAUUUUUUAUUCACCUUGAAAUCAUAUUGCUCAAAUGUAAAUUUGUUGAACUGAUUUGUUCGAUAUAUGUUAAAGUAAUUACACAUUUGUGAAAAGAAAAAAUUGUUGGAAUUCAUUUUUGCGAAGAGGAAGUGUUGAUUUAUAUAUAUAGAAGACUGCUUUUAAAAUAUGUCAUUUUGUAGCACUUUAUAAAAUUGUGACCAUGAUCAUUUGUUUUCUUCCCAAAUCCCAUGGAAUAAAAACAUGGAUCAUGUUAGAAUAACAAUCUUGAUAACGAAGUUCGGCCAAUUUUGCAUGUCUCCCUCCAACUGCAAAACAAUUGUAUAGUUCCACUAUAUUAUCAAUGAAAUAUUAGGGAUUAUUGUAUACAAUUCGUAUUUAAAUACGACACUCUUAUUUUUAAGCCAUAGUCAGCAACAUACCCUCUUCUAUCUCUCAAACAAAUAAGGGAGAAGGGUGUUAAAGAGUGUAGAGAAGAUAAUGGUGAAACGGAAAAGAGUAUGGUUGUAGUUACUAUUCCAUAAAUCCGCUACCAUUGAGUUAAUUCUCUUUAUUUUAAAAGUUUUGUCAAAGAAUACUCUAUUCCAUAAAUCCGCUACCAUUGAGUUAAAAUAUUAGUAUAUUACUCCAUUGUGUUAAAUAUUAAUAUAUUAUUAUUCCAUUUUGUUUCAAAAUAUAAGUCACUUUUUUUAAGUAGAAGAAAUGACAAAACUAUUAUAAAUUCACACACACAAGUGGAGAUGUAAGGCUUCGAAACUCAAUUAUGGUGUUUGACUUAACAGUUUUGACAUUUUAUCAGUUGAGCUAGCACUUGUGAACAUAUAAGUCACUUAUUUAUUCACCAAAAAUACUCAUGAAUAUUCCCAGUAAAAUAUAUACUCUUUUGGACAAUUUUAUGUGUGGAAGGAUAAACUGAAUAUUAAAUUCUUUAGAGAACAAAAAAAAAAAGUUAGGCCAAUUUUCUAAUAAGAAAUAGAUUCAAGAAAGAAAACACGUUAAGUUUGCAACACAACAUCAAAAUGGAAAUAUUAAACCAAAAAUUAAGAAACUAAUCACUUUAUUAUUAGCAUAACAAAAGUCCAAAUGAACUUGGAAACAAGAAGAGAUAAUAAACUAUCCCCAAUCAUUACCCAAACAACAAAACUUAAAAUGCAGAUCAUAAACCACUACAAAGUUUGUAGAUGCAAACUCUUAUUACAAGUUUUUCCCCACAAAUAAAUGUUUUACUCUCACCGUAACUUAUUUCUAUCCGGUGUUGGGCUCGCCAAGAUAUCCGCCACUAUUUAUAGUCGCAGUGGUGGAGAUGUUGGGAACCGACAUAGACCGGAUAUGCAUAACAAGCCUACGCAACAUUUUUUAUCAAAACCAUUGCAUUUUUCGCUAAAUGUCUUACAUUUUUUUGGCUUGUCGCAGUUUAAUAUAUUCCCAUUUCUACAGAGGCAGGUUCCUACAAAUCCCCCAUUACAAACUAACGAUUUAUCACAACAUGUUUUAUCAAAACCAUUGCAAGGUUGACCAUAGUUACCAUCUGGACAAAUGGCCUGAGAUAUGGUAGCCAAAACCACCAAGGUAAGCAUGAGAACCCAAAUAACUUUAUUGCUGCUCAUCUCCUUAUCUUCUUUCUCUUUAUUACUUAUAAUAUAUGACUUGUGUAUGAGUAUUUGUGUGUGUAUCAAAAUGAAACUAAAUUCUCAUUUUAUAGGCAUUAUGUUGUAGUAAAUUAUAUAUUUAAUUUGUCAUGUGUGAAGAAGGAUUAGAAUAAGAUAUACUGAAAGGGGGUAGGAAGCUGCUGGGUAUAAAAUCUUCAAGAUUGUACUACGGAGCACAUGGUUAUAAAACUAUGUAAAGUAUUGAUCUCUUUUAAAUUUUUUAAUCAAAAGAAAUGGUGACUAUCACAUCUUCUUUAUUCUUAUGCUUAAAAAUUUUAUAUAAAUUCAGUAAUUUUCAUAUUUUUUCUACUUAUUUGAUCGAUACAAAGUAUUACUCAUCUUUAAGUUGAUUUCUACAAAUAAAUGCUCGUAUGAGACGGAUUUACUAUAAAUUAUGUGAAUUUACGAUAAAUCCGUCUCAUGCAAGCGGUUUGCUAGGAUAUAUUGAUCAUUCUUAUUGUUCACGUCGCUGGUAAGAGUCUAAAUCAUCUAUAUCACUGAGUAGAGUAAUGGUAUUGUUAAGUUAUUAAGUCGUUAAGAUUAGGAGUAUGAAGGUUUAGCAAUUAGCAUAAUGCAAAUUACCAAAAGCAUGGAUCUGUUGUUAGAAUGAUAUACUAUUUUUUUUUUACAGGGGAUGAUAUUCAUUAUAUGAGGAACACCUCAUACAAUUCCCUCCUCCUCCUCAUCAUCGCCUUCAACUUUUCUACCUCCUUAGUCGUCGAGGGUUGUGACCCCGACGACGAGAGGUCACUCUUCAAAAUCAAGAGUGCCUUCAACAAUGUCAGCUACUUCUCUACAUGGAUGGAUCAAUUUGCAAUGCAAGAUAAUUCUGAAAACCAUGUCCUCUCGUGUCAACAUCCUCACGAUUUUCAGCUCGAACAAAAUCGUGGGCGAAAUCCCAGCAUCCAUUCCAGAGCUCACGUACCCAUAGACCUUAAUCCUCAACAUUAACCCUAACCUCUCCGGACCUAUCCCUAAUUUCUUAAUGAGGUUAAGACACAUGCAUACCCUCAAACUCGACAACAACCGAUUAACUAGUUCCAUUCCCACUUUCUUUGUUAGGCUCCCAAAUCUUCAGCGAAUAAACCUUCAACAAAACAAGCUGAAUGGAAGAAUCCCACCUACAUUCGGCUCCCUAGUGCCCAACUUCUUUGUAUUCUUUCGGGAAACCUAUCUUGGGUCAUAUCCCGAGGUUCUUAUGGCAAGUUAAUUUUGAUAUUCUUGACCUCAGCGGGAAUGAAUUGAAGAGUGACGCUUCUUUUCUAUUUGGGGAGAAUAAAACAAACACUCAGAUCCUCAACUUGUCGUGCAAUCACUUGUUGUUUGAUCUGACUAACGUGGUAAUGCCGGUAGGAGAAGAUAUCCCGAUCUUGUCAUCCUUGGACUUGAGCUACAAUCAUUUAUACAAAUGGUUGCCAGCUUGGUUAGGCCAAGCCCCAUUGUUGCACCAGUUUAAUAUGUAGUGUUGUUAUGAGAGCAUCUGAGGGUGAAGUUAGGGGGUUGCUCCAAGGCCUCAAUUGGAUUGUCUCUUUAGAAUACAAUCAUGUGAUCUUUGAAUUAGAUUGCAAAAUGGUUAUUGAUGAUGUGCACUCAGAGAAGUUGAAUCACUUGAAGUAUGGUUCAGUUUUGCAAGAUUGUAAAAUCUUACUUGAAAAUUAUAACAACUAUCAAGUUGUGUUUACUACGUCAAGCAAACGGUAGCUCAUACUCUUGCAAUGAGAGCUUUACCUCAUGUUUCUCGCAAUAUUUUUGAUUUAAUUCUCGGUUAUUUUGCUACCAUUUUUUGAAUAAAUUGCCUUAUAUUUGCUUGCAUAAAAAAAAUAAUGUGACCCUGAUUUUUCCGAUGUAAUUAAGAACCCUUUGAAUAUAAACAUGUGUUGAGGAAGUAAGCCACAGCUAAGGAAGUUGUUGCCAAAAUUCGAUCUUUCCUCCCUCUCAAGCACACAAGGAAAAAGUGUGUUAAGGUGCAGAGAAAGAGAUUGGAGAAAAGUAAGAAGACAAAUAGAGAGGAUGGAGAAGAUAUAGAUUAUUUAAAAAUGGUCUAAAUUUGUAUUCAUCAUACCCCCUUCGUCCAAAAAUAAUAAACAAAAAUAGGUCAAUAAAAUUUGAUAUAAAUUUUGAACCAAAAACAUCAACUUUUGCUUGUCAAUACUUAUAUUUUAGUACGGAUGGAGUAUACUGUUACCAAACACUAACUAACGAAGAAAAAAUCUUAAAUUUCCCUUUACACCAGUUAAUGAUAUCAUGGUGCCUAAGAAAGAAAAAGUACAAAAUUGCACCAGUAAAUUACACUCACUCCUCUUGAACUUCGGUUAUGCGACGUCUAACCCCGUUCUUAUGAGAGUUAACAUCCUCCAACUUGGCAAUACCGGAACGGAAAUAAUUACUACUCCAAUCUUGAAUAUAAAAAAAAUAAAAAAAUAAAUCAAACAAGAUUGAUUUUUGAUGUAACUAGUUUAAAAUAUGAACUAGAUACAUCUGGUUUGGUUAGCUAUUUUCUUUUUGCUUAUAUUGUUAACCGGAUGGAGUAGUAGUAACAAACACAAUUCUUUGACCUCCACUUUUUUUUUUCAUAAACAAGGCCUAAAUCAAGCUUAAACUUCAUUUAUCAACCAUUAAACUAGUACCGAAAUCUCCAGUAGUCAAAAGAAACCAGCCAUCUCUCAAACCAUUUACACAAAAUAUCAAACACUAGUAUUCCCAUUCGAACAAGGAAAAAACUUUCCACACUCCAACAUGAGUUAAUACACAAAAAAAAUAAAAAAAAACAAAUUAAGUGCCAUCUGAAAAUACACAGAAAAUUUAUGUUGUUCUAAAAUACACUUCUAAAAGAAUAAUUUUGAUUAACUAUUGGUGUAAAUUUUCCUAAAUUAUCAACCAAUCACAAAAUUUUAUAUGUAUGCCUUUUAAGUUAGAUAUGAUAAAGUCAAACAUUUUCAAUGAUCAAACGGUUAUAAUUUACUGACAGUUUAGAUAUGGUGAAAAUCAAACCUUUUCAAUGAUCAAACUACUGACAGUGCAAAAUAUCUUUACAGUGUAAAGAAUCUUUACAUCGUCAAAACAUAUGAAUCCCUUCAAAACAUGUGAGAUAUUUACAAGCUAAGUAGCUGCUUUAAAACGGUCAACUCUUAUGCCAACUUGACCUUAACCAUUAUGGUAAAACCAAAGCAUCCCUUAUUUUUAACCUCUACCCUGUCAAAUGCAGAUACUAAUCAACACCAAAUAAAAUAAUUGUCACAUCAGAGUGAUCUUCUAUUCCUCUAGGAGUGAGGGAUAACACUAUCUCAAAUAGAUUGUUGCUCAAUUCUCAAAACAUUAAUGUCACAUUACUGACUAUAAAUAAUAAAGUCGGUUUUUGUAUCAAAUGGUUGAAAAAGUAAAUCAUUAUAAAUGUAAUAGCAAACAAUCCUAGAAAGCUCUUAUUUUUACAUCAGUCAUUGAGCUGACAAACUAUCAAAUUGAAGCCAAACAACGAAGUUCUGAAAACACAUUUGAUUAUAUCAUCAAUCCUCAAUUUACUUGCUCUACGCAAGGAAUUCCUUCAUGAUGAAAAUACACUCACCUCAUCUACGGGUCUCAGCAUAGUCAUCAGAUUGAUCAUUGUUCUCUGGCACAUGGUUGUUUUCUAACGGCUCACCGAAUUCAUUCUUACCAGCGUCAUAUCCCAAAUUAGAGUUGCUGCUGAAUUCACCACCAGCAGCAGAAGUAGUACCGACAUGGCCACCAGUAUAGCUGUCUGGGGCACCACCACUUGCAUAGCUUCCACUACUGUUAUAAUCAUUGCGACCAUAUGUACUACCACCACCACCACCGUAGUUUCCGCCACCAUAAUUUCCGCCACCAUAAUUUCCGCCACCACCACCAUAAUUUCCACCACCACCACUAUAGCCACCACCACCACCAUAGCCACCGCCGCCGCCAUAGCCACCGCCGCCACCAUAACCACCGCCACCAAACCCAGGACGCGCCCUUUCUGUAGCAUAGUUCACUCGUACUGUCCGACCAUCAAGUUCCUGUGACAACCAACAUAAUUUAGAUGCUACAAGAAACAUUGCCAACAUCGAGUUUUGCAAAGAGCAGCAAAAUGAGUCAAUUGAAAUAAACAGUAACAAUUACUAGUUGACAGUGAAAGACAACUGCCAUAUAAAAAAAAUUGUACAAAUAUAAGUUGGUAAAAUGUUUUACAAAAUCCUAUCCCUCUGUGCCACAAUAAUUGUCACAUCAUCACAAAAUUAUUACUACUCUCUAACCGAUACUAUAUGCAUCAUUCCCAGGUCAUUAUAUUUCAAUUUGCAUUUAUGAUAAAGGUGAAUACACCAAUGCUUAACAAGGAUAAUUUGGUAAAAAUAAUAUUCUCUAUCUUUCAUUAAUAGUUUUUCCUUGAAUUUGUGAAACAAGCAAGUAUGCAAAUUAUUAUAGGAUGGAGGUAUAUCUUUUUGGGCUUUUGAAAUCUAAUUCCCAUUUUGAAAGAAUUUGCAUGGUUUCUCUAAUAUCAUCCUUUUUAAAUAUAUUCUUCAAGAAAUCUAAAAAAUGUAAAAACAGAUUAUGUAGAACAAAGAAUCAUUAACAAAGAGAAUACCUUAGGAUAUUACAGCCACAUGUGCAUUUAUUAUUCCUAUCUUAUCUUGGCUAAAUAAAUGCAAUUGCUUCCUCCAAGUAUGAACAAAAGGUGUUUUACUAUUUCAUAAAUGAGGUAGUAAGUCAUGCUUGCCAUGUGAAUUGGUGAAUUUUAGAAUUUAAAGAUGAUAUCAUCACGAAAACUGAUAAUACCUUGUUAUCCAUGGCCUGCAGGGCAGAGGAUGCUUCCUCGCUCGUUGCGAAAGUUAUGAAGCCAAAACCUCGGGACCUUCCUGUAUCACGAUCCAUGAUAAUCUUUGCUGGAAGAACAUUAAAAAUGACAGGUUUCAGUGCAGAAAUCAAUAAUCCCCAUAUCAUGAAAUACAUAUGCUUAUCACAGCCACCUUUUCUAUAUGACUAUUAGUCUAUUACUUUCAAUGAAAAUUUUCUUUUACCAAAACAAAGUAACCGCUCUAUCAAAUCAUACAUAAAAGGCAUAGUUGCACUUUUGGUCCUCCAAAUAUCACAGUUGAGCGAUUUUGCCCUCCCUCCCCCACUUUAUUUUGAGCAAUUUUAGUCCCUUGUGUUUUUCCCUGUGAUUUGGUAGUCUCCCUCCAAAUUGACACUGAUGAGGCAUCAUUUAUUGCCGUGGCAUACAACUCUAAUAGACAACCGGACUUUUCUUUAAAAUUAAAUAUUAAAAACGCCAAAAAUCAACCCUUACAGGUGAGAGCGAAUGAAACCUCUAAUUAGGAUUUCAAACUUUUUGGUGGUUUUUGGCGUUUUUAAUAUUAAAUUUUAAAGAAAAGUCACACUAACUAUGAAAGUUGGAUGUCAGUAAAUGAGGUCGCCUUAGUGCAAAUUUGGGACGGGGACUAUCAAAUCAUAAAGGGCCAGAAUCACACGAUCACGAUACUCUGGGGGCGCCAAAAGUCUAAUAAAGUUUAUAUAAAAUAAGCAUCAUACUGGUUUGCUUUUGCUUUAGGUCAGAAUAUUAGAUUCGGAGACAGUUUACAAGUGGAAACUCAUGUUUUAUUUCAUAUUAACACCUGAUAUGAUGAAAAAAUGGUAGAUUGCAAGUCAGAAAGAAAAUUACCAUCAAGAACAUCUCCAUAGCGAGAAAAAGCUUCUCGGAGACCAGUUUCAUCAGUGCUAUAUGAAACACCUGCAUUGCAAUUGAAAUUUGAAAAAUUAUAGUCACAUUUCAUUUUUAAAAUUUAACAUGAUAGACAAACAUACCUCCAAUAAAAAGCUUUGCAGAUGACAUGGAUCUAAUUGCUUGAAAUAACGAAGGAGUAGACAUAGAUAAAUCAUGAUUGAUGUGCUUGACAGCAGAAUUCUGGAGUAACUUUCCCAUUUUACCGAAGAACGCCAUUGCUCAAACCUUGAAAACAUCAAACCUCGGAAAAUUAGUAUCGCUUAAACAAUAUAUCCAUCCAACUCUAUUCAUUGAUUUCUAAUAAACCACAAACUUGUAAGCAAAAAAACAUCUAAGAAAAAAAGCAGUAACAUUAACAUCACUCAAAAAUCAAAUCUCAGAAAAAUUUCAGUUAAUUUCUAUCAUUUUGAUUCUCUUUCUCUAACACCCAGUUGAAUUCUGUACAAUAAAAAUCAAAUCUUUCACAAUAUUAAGCUAACCUAGGUCAAAAAUACUGAAAAAAAAUAUAACUAAUAGAAACCCACUUAACAGGUAAAUAAGAACAAGAAGAAAUAAACAGUGAAAUCAGAAUUGAAAAAUGGGUAGUGAAAAAGUUGUGAUCUUGAGAUCUUAGUGCUUACCUUGAAAAGCGAUUAUGGCUGCUCCUGAAAUCGAAACGAAACAAUGAAAUGAAAUGAAAGUUCUUAAACCCUAAUAUUUUGUUUUUCUAGGGCUUUGGAGCUUGCCACGUGGCGGCUUAUGUGAUGUCUUGAUGCUUCUGCAUCAACCGUUUAUAUUUGAGUGAUCAAUGUGGUUAAGAAACUUCAAAAACCCCCUUAAUUUUUAAGAAAUUUCAAAAAACCCUCUAAAAUUGUAAAAUGUUAAUCAAUUACCCCUCCGUUUGUUUUGGUUGUUAAAUGACUUUUUUUUUUUUUUUUACUUUCUUCAUCUUUAAUCCUUCCACUUUUUUCAUCAUCUUCAUCAAUAUUCAUCAAAAAUUCAUAAAUAAGAAACAACAAUCAUUAACAUCAUCAUCAUCAUCUCAUUACUACACCUCCACCACCAUCAACAACAAUAACACCACCUAAGUUAAAGUUAUAAAUUUAAAGUUGUUUUCUCAAAGGUAUUAAAGCUGAAUGCAAAGGACAUGUUAACUCAUAACUUCACAAUUUUCAUGGAAAGUUUAUUUUUUGAAGUUACCAUAUUUUAAAUUAGGAGUAUUUUUUAAAUUAGAGUUGGAAUGUGACCCGAGUCCAAUGUUGUUAGAUAUAGAAGCAGAUUCAAUUUUUGCAUAAAUAGCAUAAUUAGUUCUUUAAAUUAGCACAUUUAUAAUUAGUUGUGGAUGUAUAGUAAUGAGAUGAUGAUGAUGAUGAUAUUGUUAAUGGUUGUUGUUUCUUAAAAAAAAAAAUCUGGAAUUUUUUAUGAAUAUUGAUGAAGAUGAUGAAAAAAGUGGAAGGAAGAAGAUGAAGAAAGCAAAAAAGAAAAAUUAAAAAAUAACAGCCAAAACAAACGGAGGGGGUAAUUGACUAACGUUUGACAAUUUCAAGGUUUUUUUUUAAGUUUCUUAAAAAUCAGGAGGAUUUUUGACGAAAGUUACAAUUUCAGGGGGCUUUUUGCCUAUUCACUCGUUUAUAUUUUCUCAGUCCCCACUUUUUUUUAUUGAUUGAUUUACAUUUGCAAAGUAAAUAUAUGGGUGUCUCAUCUCGUCUUUGGCUCUCUCUCAUGUUUUCCAUCAUGUUGAUCUUAAUCGCUCAUCAAACAAUAAAUAUUGUUAACCUCAUGUGGUAAAUCAAAAUGAGUGGAUGAGAUUGCACACGAUCAUUUAGCAAAUUGACAUCAAUCCAUAUUGACUUCUUUAUCGUGGAGUGAAAUUUAUAUUGCGCUGAUAAUGAAUUGUGGUUAUGUUUGUAAGUAAUUGUUAAAGAUGUUGAUUUGCAUGAGCCUGAUUUCAAUUAUGAUUUCUCAAAUUCUUCAUAUUUAAAGUAUGUAAGUACAAUCACCAUACUAGGUAAAUGAUGAGGGUGGUUCUAGAAGCAUUACGACUCCUUUUUCGCUUGAUAAAUUGUAUUAAAAAAUAAUAAUUUUAGGAUAAAUUUAAGGCAUUAAUUGCACUUUUUGUCUCCUAAAUUUUACAAUUAUGCGAUUUUGACCCCUCAAAUUUAAAAUGUGCCAUUUUAGCCCCUCAAGUUUACCUAUUUUUUAUUUUGAUGCCCCACAUACAUUUUGGCACUCGUGUGGCUAAUUUCAAUGAUGUGGCAUGCCUCAAGUGCAACAUGGCCAUUCCAUUUCUCGUGAAUUUUGUGGUUUGCAACCUAAUUAUGAAGACAAUAUACAUGUUUUGCUCCAAUGUCCUCUUGCAGUGUAGGUUUUGAGAGCGAUCAAUGUGGUUAAAUUGAAAUGGCAAUGGUUGUUCGAAUACCGAUAAUAGUGUGCAGCAACAACCAAAUGGUGGGGUGGGGGGAGGGGGUAUUUGCAAUCGAGACAAUAACUGGGGUUGUGCUUGUGAGGACUCUGGUUUUCAUUUGUGUUUAUUUGAUAUUCGAGAAGCAUUGAAGUAAGUUGAGUAAUAUUGAUUUUGUGCUUGAUUCAAACAAAGUGGUGGAUUGCUUUCACCCAGGUAGUAGAUACAUCAGAAAAUUUAGGACUAUUACAAAU